rnacentral:rRNA from 1 species
UACAGAGGGUGCGAGCGUUUGUUCGGAAUUAUUGGGCGAAAGGGCGCGUAGGCGGUGCGGUAAGUCACCUGUGAAAUCUCCUGGCUCAACUGGGAGCUUGCAGGCGAAACUGCCGUGCUGGAGUGUGGGAGAGGUGCGUGGAAUUCCUGGUGUAGCGGUGAAAUGCGUAGAUAUCAGGAGGAACACCUGUGGCGAAAGCGGCGCACUGGACCACAACUGACGCUGAGGCGCGAAAAGCUAGGGGAGCGAACGGGG